UACGGGGGGGGGCAAGCGUUGUUCGGAAUUACUGGGCGUAAAGGGCUCGUAGGCGGCCAACUAAGUCAGACGUGAAAUCCCUCGGCUUAACCGGGGAACUGCGUCUGAUACUGGAUGGCUUGAAUCCGGGAGAGGGAUGCGGAAUUCCAGGUGUAGCGGUGAAAUGCGUAGAUAUCUGGAGGAACACCGGUGGCGAAGGCGGCAUCCUGGACCGACACUGACGCUGAGGCGCGAAAGCGUGGGGAGCAAACAGG
rnacentral:rRNA from 1 species